rnacentral:rRNA from 1 species
UUGCCCUAGUAACGGCGAGUGAAGCGGCAACAGCUCAAAUUUGAAAUCUGGCGUCUUCGGCGUCCGAGUUGUAAUUUGCAGAGGGCGCUUUGGCAUUGGCAGCGGUCCAAGUUCCUUGGAACAGGACGUCACAGAGGGUGAGAAUCCCGUACGUGGUCGCUAGCCUUUACCGUGUAAAGCCCCUUCGACGAGUCGAGUUGUUUGGGAAUGCAGCUCUAAAUGGGAGGUAAAUUUCUUCUAAAGCUAAAUACUGGCCAGAGACCGAUAGCGCACAAGUAGAGUGAUCGAAAGAUGAAAAGCACUUUGGAAAGAGAGUUAAAAAGCACGUGAAAUUGUUGAAAGGGAAGCGCUUGCAGCCAGACUUGCCUGUAGUUGCUCAUCCGGGUUUCUACCCGGUGCACUCUUCUAUGGGCAGGCCAGCAUCAGUUUGGGCGGUUGGAUAAAGGUCUCUGUCAUGUACCUCUCUUCGGGGAGAACUUAUAGGGGAGACGUCAUGCAACCAGCCUGGACUGAGGUCCGCGCAUCUGCUAGGAUGCUGGCGUAAUGGCUGUAAGCGGCCCGUCUUGAAACACGGACCAAGGAGUCUAACAUCUAUGCGAGUGUUUGGGUGUCAAGCCCGAGCGCGUAAUGAAAGUGAACGGAGGUGGGAACCUUUCGGGGUGCACCAUCGACCGAUCCUGAUGUCUUCGGAUGGAUUUGAGUAAGAGCAUAGCUGUUGGGACCCGAAAGAUGGUGAACUAUGCUUGAAUAGGGUGAAGCCAGAGGAAACUCUGGUGGAGGCUCGCAGCGGUUCUGACGUGCAAAUCGAUCGUCAAAUUUGGGCAUAGGGGCGAAAGACUAAUCGAAC